AAAGAUUAAGCCAUGCAUGUACAAGUACAAACUUGAAUAAAGUUGAAACCGCAGACGGCUCAUUAAAUCAGUCAUAAAUAAUGAAAUAUCGAAAAAACAGUUACUUGGAUAACUGUGGAAAAUCCAGAGCUAAUACAUGCACUUAAGCUCGGACAAUCGUUGUAACAAACGAUACAGAAGAGCGCAAUUAUUAGAUUUCAAUAAAAGUUAUUUUAUUGGAUGACUCCGGAUAAUCCUAGUCGAGCGCAUAUGAUCUUAGUAUCAGCGCCAUAUUUCAUAAGAGACUGCCUUAUCAGCUUUCGAUUGUAAUUUAAAUGAUUACAAUGGCAAUAACGGGUAACGGGGAAUCAGGGUUCGAUUCCGGAGAGGGAGCCUGAAAAACGGCUACCACAUCUAAGGAAGGCAGCAGGCACGUAAAUUACCCACUCUCAGUUCGAGGAGGUAGUGACGAAAAAUACCGGUGACUUACUCUAAUAAGGGUUUUGUCACCUAAUUAUAAAAGGAAUGAGUUUAUUCUAAAAAUAUAUUCAAUUACCUAUUGGAGGGCAAGUCUGGUGCCAGCAGCCGCGGUAAUACCAGCUCCAAUAGCGUAUAUAAAAGUUGUUGCAGUUAAAAAGCUCCUAAUUGGAAUUUAUAAAAAGCUGAUACAUAAUCAAAUUAGACGAUGUAUCAUAUGUGAACUAUAUUAAUGCGAUUGAGUAAUUAGUAUGUCUUAGUGCAAACUUUGAUUGAAAAUUACUCUUAUUCGUAUGAUAUAAAGUAAUGUAUGGGUGAAGUCUUAAAAGAUUUAAUCGGUGUACAUAAUUUAAACGGAUAUCAACUCCAGAAGUUGAUAGUUUCGUUCAUUUUUCACUUUGAAAAAAUUAGAGUGUUCAAAGCCGAGCUAAAAUUGCUCGAAUGUUAUAUCAUUGUAUGAAAUAACAUGAUCUCGUUUAGACUUUUUUGUCUUCUUUUAUUGAUCUAAAAUGAGAUAAUGAUUAAAAGGAACAGCCGGUGGCAUUGGUAUUACGGCGCUAGAGGUGAAAUUCUUAGACCGUCGUAAGACUACCUACUGCGAAAGCAUUUGCCAAGAAUGUUUUCAUUAAUCAAGAACGAAAGUUAGAGGAUCGAAGGCGAUCAGAUACCGCCCUAGUUCUAACCAUAAACUAUGCCAACUAGCGAUCCGUCGGUGUCAUAUCCACGACUCGACGGGAAGCCCCUGGGAAACCUAAGUUU
rnacentral:rRNA from 1 species